rnacentral:misc_RNA from 1 species
CAGAGUUAUUCAAAACUCCCAAACCCAUGUGAACUUACCUUUUGUUGCCUCGGCAGGGCCUAUUGAGGUCAUCGCGACCUCGGUGGUGGCCUGCCGGCGGACUACCAAACUCUUGUUAUUAUUGUGGAACUCUGAGUUAUAUAAACAUAAUAAGUUA